UGAGAGUCCAUAGCUACGGCAUAGGAUGACCACUAAGGUGACAGGAAGCCACCAUGUAAAUUCCCUGGUGCAGUAGCUGCCAUGGAAUGAGCGCAUGGGGCCGGAGAGAUGGCUCAGCAGUUGAGAGCACUGACUGCUCUUCCAGAGGUCCUGAGUUCAAAUCCCAGCAACCACAUGGUGGCUCACAACCAUCUGUAAUGAGAUCUGAUGCCCCCUUCUGAGGCGUCUGAAGACAGCUACAGUGUACUUACAUAUAAUAAUAAAAUAAAUAAAUCUUUUUUUUAAAAGUC